UCAUUUUCCCUGGAAAAAAAGCAUCGCUGCGUGGGCAGUGAAAGUAAUUUUUUUUUUUUUCUCUUUGGAGAGAAGCUCGGCUGUAAAACGGCGGUGACGGACGGUGUCGCCGGGCUCCCCGAGGGAGCCAUGCUGGUGGGCACCGCUGGGGUGGCGGCCGGGGUCUGCGGGGAGGGAGGGGAGAGGAGCUGCGCCUUGAGAGAAACUGCACCUUGUUUUGCCCGCCUCACGCCGAGGGUGCGGUAACGGGGCAAACUGGAGGGGAGUCAACCAGCACAAUGGAGGCUGCAUCAUCCUGGAGGCUAACUCAAGAAGGCAAUUCUCACAGGCCCUGUGCCACAGUGUCUUUUUGUAGGAGCCCCUCUCAAGCACAGAAAGAUUCCUCCUAGGAUGGCUGUGGCACUCUUUUCAGGCACCCUUCCUAGGAGCCUCUGCUCUCAGGAGGUGGCAUCUUCCCCCUGGAACUCCAUGCAGUAGAUAAAUAGUGCUAAAGGGUGUUUUCCUGCUAGUUAGUUGGCCAGUGCACAGCCUUGCCUGCAUUUGCAUUCACGCUGCUUCUCCUGCCAAGGCUGAGGCAACGACCAUCGAGAUGUUCCCUCUGAUGGUGUUGACUGCUGAACGCCAGCUGCUGACACUGACAUUUAAUAUCUGUAUGUGAGGAAAAAAGAGGAUUCCCUCACCCCUGAAGUGGUAACAGCAAAGGAAUCAGUUCCUUUGUAUGGUAUGGGCAGUUAGAGAAACUCUCCCACUUUGAUGUGUGAGGCUGAAGUAGCAGUGAUGAGGGCCAGUAAGGCACACAUAGGGUUGGUAACAUCUGUCCCUGGAGAUCCAGGAAGAGUCCCUCUACCAGUGUUAGGUAGACUUGACCCUCACUUUAAAGGCUGUACUUAUCUUUGAGCAGAAUCUCCUUUUACUGAAAACUGGGCCUUACACAUUGUAAUUUUCCUUGAAUUUGGCUCUAGACUCACGUCUCCUGUGCCACAUUUCUACGAACACACUCAGGAGGCCAUCUGCUUUUAAAGAGGUUGUGUUACCUAAAGCCACCAAAAAAAAUAAACCUCACUUGCAAAUUAAAGCUGACUUUUUCCUUGUGAAAGGUUUGAAAGGUAUGCAGAAUCCUUACAUACCGGGUUGUUGUUGUUGAAAGAGCAUGUCGCAAUUUUAAUUAGAAACCAGUAGUUUGAAAGAUUUAGAAGUGUAAAUACCCAAAAUCAGACUGAAAUUUGGCAUAUAAUUUAUAGCAGCAUUGUGUAAUUCUCAUUGUGCUGAAAAGUGCUUCAUAGGUGAGUACAAGGGAAGUUAGUUUUCCGUACAUGUGUAUGAAGUCCUAUAGUUCAUAAUUAUACAUACAACUGUAGCUUGCCAAGGUAAUUUGUAGCUAAAGCAAGUUUUUCAGUAAAGCAUAACCCAGUGACCCAGUACUGUCCCCAUGGUUAGUAUCUAUUACUUUUAAAGCCCCUUUAUAGUGGUUUUAUCAAAUUAUGGAAUGGUAAAAGGGAGUUUGCUCCUCCACUUCAGUAAACAGAUGAAGUGCUGAGCAGGGGAUCUAAUUACCUUUAUUGUUCUCAUAGAGCAUAACCAUCUCAUAAAUACUGGGAUAAAUCCCACUGUUUUACUCAGAUCUUGUUUCAGUCUCACUGAAUAACAUUGGCUUGGCUACUGUAGAGAGGACUUGGCUCUUUAUGAGUGACGAUAAUGUUAUCCAGCCACAGUAUUUAACUUGAUGACCUAUUACAACAAUGAAUUCUAUAGUCAGGACAUGUGUUACAUAAAAGUAUUUUUUUUUAAUUUGUUCUAAAUUUAUUGCUGCCUGAUUUUAUUAUUGUUCUCUCUUUCUAGGGUAAGAAGUCAAAAGGAGAGCUGAAUGACUUUUUAUCCUGACCUUCUUAAACUAUUGAGUGUCUCAACCAAAAUGCCUUAACCAAAGUUUUUUGUCUGUUUUCAUCUUUUAGUUUAGUGGCCUUCAUUUUGCUGUCACACUUGUAUGAGUCAGGCCUUUUAUGUAAAGCGUAUGGGACAGGCUUCUGCAGAGACGCUGAACUACAGAAUUAUGUAUUAACUCAUCUUUUAGAAUGACUCUGAUCCCUAUAGCGCAUUGAAAAUUACUGUGUUUAAUAAUAUAUCUAAAUAUACAUGUUGUUGUUUGGAAAGUCUCAAUUUAUUAAGUAGUAAAUGUAAAAGUAAGUACACGGUAAAAUUCAAUAUUGAAAGGAAAAUAAAAAGAACAGGAUUGAGUUUGCAGCUGAAGUGCAAGCCAGAAGCCAACAGUAUAGACCAUAUAUCUGCUUAAAUAUCCAUUCUCUGAGCAUCCACAUAUAUGGAUGGGCAGCUCCAGCAAAUAAAUUUGAGCAUACACACCUCCCGGAUCAGCACCUCAGACUGCAUGCUCAGAGAAGAUACUGCUUUUCUGUCGUGGUACAUUGUCAAAAAAAACCCCUCCCUAGAGUUCAACUGGCAGUCAUAGCUGCUACAGCAAUACAAAUUGAAAAUAAGACUAGUAAAUCAUUCAAGUCAGUCUAAUAAUGUGCUUUUUGUGUCUAUUUGAUCAAUCGGACAACUUCUGAAGUAGAGCACUGCUCAUCCUGAAUAAAAGUGGCAGUUAGAUCCAGGUUCUAACACUGGGAGGUUGAAUGGGCAUUCGCUUUAUGUAUAUGAAGCCAGACUCUACAUUCCUUCAAGAGGGAGUCAAGUGGCAGGUUCCUUUUAUUGCUGAAAAUAAGAAUCACUGGCAAUGUGGUGGGCUUUUGUCUUUCUGCAUCUCAUGGUUUCUCCCAUCUAAGGGUCUGGGUGACGCUUCACAGCAAUGGGAAAGAGUGAUGCUGCCAUGAGGAAGGUGGGAGCCAGUGGCAGAGGGACAAUGGAUAUGUCCAUGCAUUUGCAGAGGGCUUUCCAGGAGCAUUAGCCACCCUGUUGGAGGUGUGUGGGGAGCUGCCAUCUCAAAAG